rnacentral:rRNA from 1 species
UACGUAGGGGGCGAGCGUUGUCCGGAGUUACUGGGCGUAAAGGGCAUGCAGGCGGUCGGACGCGUUUCGGGUGACAGCGGGUGGCUUAACUACCCGAGUGGUCGAAAGACGGUUUGACUUGAGGACGCGAGAGGGACACGGAAUUCCGGGUGGAGUGGUGAAAUGCGUAGAGAUCCGGAGGAACACCAGAGGCGAAGGCGGCAACCUGGCUCGUAACUGACGCUCAUACACGACAGCAUGGGGAGCGAACGGG